AGCUGCCUGCCGCCAUUUUGCUUGUGGGCUGCCGCCCGCUGUUGCCUCUUGGCACAGAGGCUUGAAGACAGGCAACUGGAGGCAGAGAGGUGGGCAGAGUCUCCGUCUUUUUUCAGAACAGAUGCAUUCAACAAUUCACAGAAGUCUGGCCUCCAGCGCUGGGUGAACUCGUUUUGGGUGUCACUCGACGCCCACUAGGGGCUGAGGAGGCUCCAGUGCGCAGACUCCGGGCACCGGAUAAAAGCGGAGCUGGAGCGUCCAGCGCCGUCUCGAUGGAGGAGCGAGAAACGGAAGAGGUCGGGGGGAGAAGCAGCAGGAAAAAUACAGCCACCGUCAGCGCCGCUUCCCUGCCACCGUGUAUCGGGGUAAAAAGCUGCCGUUGCCGUCGGUGCAGUUGCCGUCGCUGCCUCCUACUUCUCUUGGCCCCGGGGAAGGAUUUCCCCGCCGGCGGGACAAUGUGCGGGGUGGGGAGGAGUUAACCUUUAUGUGGCGGUGAUUAAACGAGGGAGGGACAGAGAGACGGUUAUCUCGAAGAAAAAAGGGGGAGGCCAAAGAAUAAAACAAGGGUUUCCCCACUAAAAUAACAUUGUGAUUCCGGUUCUUGUUUUCGGGGUCUUUCCCUGAAAUGGCGGUUUCCGUCUUCUUGCUCCGCAGAGACCCGGAGCGCUUGGUAAGCGGAGUGGGGAGAGGCAGAGGCGGUCCAUGCGGCCAAUCAGUGCCUGAUGUGUCCUGUCGGGCUAGUAGUGAUUGGCUAGCGAUGACCUCAUGCUGCAGCAGCGGGUGGGGCCAGAGCCGUCGGGGGAGGCUGUUGCAAAGGCAGAGAGGGAGAAGUGACGAUGGUGAUCGUUGCUGCCGCGGCCGGUAUGGAACCCAAGCAGUGGCGAAGAGAAUCUCAAGGCUCUUCCCUGAGUAUUUUCUCCUGUCCCUGCGCGAGGUGAGGGCCCCGGCUCGGCCCCUGCGAAACCUUGGGGCGCUGGCGCGGACGAGGAGACACCAUUUCUCUCAUGACUUUUGUAACUGCGUCAGGGCAAGAUGGCGCUGGGUCUCCUUGGGGCGCGGGGGGAGAGGCACGUCCACCGCCGCCGCAGCGCAUGUGACCGGGCUGCAUUCCUGUGGGGUUUGGCUCCGACCCAGGCUGGGGCGGGGGAGGGGAAAGGGCUUGGGCGGAGGAGACUGUGGUGCGGUCGGCGUUGGCGGCCUGAAGAGGAAGAGAUGACUGUUUGAGAGCGCUUCCCCUCCCCCAUACGGCUUACAGUUGCGGCUCCCAGGGGAAAGCCCCUGGAGGGACACUCCUUUUGGGUGUGACGGCUGUUGGUGGAGGAGAAGGUUUGGUGCCCUAUUUUCUUAUCUACCUCUCUCCUUGCAAAGUACUUACGUAAGGUGGCAGGUUCCUAAUGUGGGAAUCUACUAUGAGUCCCUGAGGGCCUCUGGACUGAGUAAAGAGGGGACAGACUAGCUCCUGGCCCACGACGACAAGCGGUAUCAGUUAUUUUUUGAGAAGACGUAAAAUUUCUCAGAUCUUAGUAGAAAAAUGUUUCCUAAAUUUGGAAGCAAAGGUAAAAGGUGUAAACACCCAGGAACACUUAAAAUCUCCGAAGUUACAGGGAAUUUGCCAUCUGAAUUUUGAGGACCGUUUUCAGGCUUUCUGUUCCUUUCCUGUGUACUCUGUUCUCGUAUCCUCCUUAUCUGUGUAUUCUACAAGAAUGUGUAAUUUUAGCGGAUUUGCUUUUCUUUCUAAAUUUAGGCAUGAUCAGUAAUAACAAUAAAAGCGAUAGUGUUGUGAUCUGUAUGAAGUUGUAAGGAUGUUUUCAGUACUUUCGUCUUUCUGACGCCCUCUUAACUAUGGUUUUUAAAAAUAAAACAUGAAUUCACUUUCGGUAAAUGUUACUCAUUAAGAAGCCUGCACCGUUAUGAAGCCUACAUCUUUAAUCACUUUUCUGGAAGUAUGAACUUUAGUUUCCGAAACCUUGUUGGUUGAAGGUCUUUAGUUCAAGAGUUCUUAAGGUCUAUAUUGGUAGACUCAGUAAGAAAGACUAUUUUUGUUUUUGAUAAUUCCCAGUUGGCCAAACAAGCAUUGUAGCCAUCAACUAAACUAGUCAAGAUUUAAAAGGCUUCUCCCCUCGGGUGGUGUUGAGCUGGGAGUUACACAACAAAGACAUUUGCACUGAAACCUGGCUUGCUUUUUGACAGAACACAUCUGGUGCUAAGAGGAAAUGUUUGCUGAACCUGAAAAGAUGGGUUUUAAUCUGGGGUCCAGGUUAUGUUACCAUCUUUAGUGUUAGUUGUGGACUUGAUAGUUUGAAAACAAGAUUGAAUUUUUAAUUCAUUUGUUUAUACUUAAACCCUUACUGGUUUCUGUGGUUUUCUUUUUCAGUGAAUUACCAAUAUGAAUGAACUAAAAACUCUGUAAUUAAACUGUUAAUAUAGAAGAAGAAAGAUUUUAGAGUUCAAAGUGUGUGUCAUGUCCAUUGUGAAUAUAAAAUGGGCCUUCUGUCUAUAAGAACUGAAUAUCUUCGAGGAUUUACUUGUCAUGUGUAAGUUAUAUCUCCCUUACUGUCAUAGCAAUUUUUAUUUUGACUUAGGAAAGAGGGACGGAAUAUGAAGUCAGAUUGUAAGGUUUCGUGGUCUUCCUAGCUUCACUCUGCCUUAAUAAGGAAGAGAAGCCAUUUUUCAGACUAAUAGAAACACAUCCAUGUUUUGAGUUUUUCAUCAACAUGUGUCCUCAUUGUUCCUAAUUGCUAAAUCUUGAGCUCUAGUUUUUCUUUACAUUUCUGUGUCAUUUUAAAUACUACUUGCAGUUACUUUGACUACCUUUUUGUGUUAAUGUACUCUUUGGGCAAUUUUAUUCAUGCCUGUUAUUCUCCACUAGAGCCUAAAUUUUCUUCUCAGCUGUAGAUGCAAAGUUAAGGUUUUUAGGGAGGGGGACCACAGGCUUCCUGAACUCCCAUAAAAAUACUGAGCUUGUACUAGACUCCUAAGAAUUUUCUUCACCCAUUCCCUCAAAAAAUUUUUGCUUCUCUUCCUAUGUUUCAUUAUUUGAGUAAACCAUGCCCCAACCUUCCUUUAUCUAUUUUUGUUCACAUUCUCAUCUCUUUUACAAUGGGAAUAGUUUUUAUCACUGGCUUCAGAUGGCAGACCAACCCUAGUGGGCUAAAGUACCUCCCGAGUGCUGUGCUGUUUCAUACUUUUGUGUCUUUGUCCACCCUACCUGAAGUACUUCUUCCCACUCCUGGUUAACUUGAACCUUGCCUCCCAAAACUCUUCCAAAUCCUUAAUCCCAAGUGAAAUGAGCCAAUUCUUGACAUUGAUAACCCAGCCCAUUGCUUGACACUUAGUUGGCAUUCAGGUGUACAAGUUUUUUGUUUUUUUGUUUCUGGGGAAGAUAACACUCCAUUAAUAGAGUGGAUAAUCCAAACUGUAAAAUGUAGCUUUCACACUUUUUCAAAAAUGCCCUUGACCACCAGGGUUUGGAGAGGAGAUCAAGGUUUAGGGAGGCUCACAAGCAGGUUUCCUCUCCUUUUGGUUAUAAGAUGUCAGGGCAGAUGCUCCUGAUGGGAUAGUUCUACCUCCAGAAAGUUGGGAAGAAAAAACUGACCUUAUUUUUUAACAUCCAUAUUUCUCAAAUCUAGAGGACAUUUUAACCUGCAAACUUCAACAAUAUAUGAACUGAUUGUUUGGGUUUAUAAUUCCUUGAUGUGUUUGGGGCUUAUCAAAGUAUGUAUUACUGCUUGCUCUGAUACUAUAGGACCCAAUUUGUUUUGCUCUUGAGUUUAGGUUUUGUUAUUUUUCUUGCUGUUGUUGAUAAGUGUCCCAUUUGCCAGCCUCUAGUAGCUACAUGUAUGUAUUGUGAGGUUGGCAUUCCAAUAACAGGAGUUAUUGAAUUGCAUACAAAAUGAAGCUCCGCAAUAAAAAUUCUAGGAAUCAGAUUUGGGCUUUAUAAACGUAAACGUUGGUGAUGUUUUUGUUUGCUAUUAAAGCCUUUUGGGGUAUUUUUGAGUAGUCCUUAUCUGUCUUUUGAAAUUCGAGUUCAAAGUAAGAAAAUAGACUUUCACUGUAUUUUGUUUUUUGUUUUCUUUAACCUGUUUUUAAUGUUUGUUUGGGUUUUUUUUUUUUGUUUUUUUUUUUUUGAGAGAGAGCAUGAGCCGGGUAGGGGCAGAGAGAGAGGGAGACACGAUCUGAAGCAGGCUCCAGACUCUCAGCUGUCAGCACAGAGCCUGAUUCAGGGCUGGCACUCACCAAUGGUGAGAUCAUGACCUGAGCUGAAGUCGGACACUUAACUGACUGAGCCACCCAGGUGCCCCUGGAUUUUGUUUUUAUAUGGAAUUUUUUCUGCCCCACCUCUGACUUCAGUGUCCUUUUAGAAUGAAAAAAUUUAUGUUUCAGAAUUGAACUUGAACCAUUAAAUAUAUACCUUAAAAUGUUAGGGGUAAAUAUGUAUCACCUGAUUAGUUUAACUUCUAAAAAAUGAAUAUAAUGCUAUCCCUUUCUGUGCAAGGUGUUAUGUUGAUUUUAAACCUGAAAUCUGUAUUUGCAAACAGUGCUCAAAAAACCUUCCAGGGUUGUGGAUACCUUGAACUUGAUUGGUUGUCUUGAAAGAGGAAAUUAAGUUUAUUCUUGAGCAUUCAGCAAAUAUUUUCAGGGGUGCCUGGGUGGCUCUGUCUGUUAAGCAUCCAGCUUCGGCUCAGGUCAUGAUCUCACAGUUCUUGAGUUCGAGCCCAGCAUUGGGCUCUGUGCUGACAGCUCAAAGCCUGGAGCCUGCUUGGAAUUCUGUGUCUCCGUCCCUCCCUCUGUGUCUCACUCUUUGCCCCUUCCCUGCUUGUGUGCUCGCUCUCUCCCUUUCUCUCUCAAAAAUAAAUAAAUUUUUAAAAAAGGAAGAAAACAUUUUGAAAGCUACCUGCCCUCUGCUAUUCAAAAAGAUCAGGCCUCUAGUCUCCCUGUUGAUUGUUCAGUUCAGGUUUGAAACAUCUUUAAGUAUGGAGUUGGAAUUGGAAAGUAGAGAAACUAUUCUGCUUCUACCUGAAUGAAGCAAACAGAAGGCUAGUAAAAGAUUAUAGAGCCCACCAUUCUGUUCUCUGGAAUGAUUUAACAGUAGAUAUAGUAAAAAGAGCUUUUAAUAUUCUGUGUGAACUGCAAAUUUCAGCAUCAAAUGUAAAAAUGGAGCCAGUGACGAAGAGCUGAAAAAUCUGUUGGAGGUCCUUUCUUUGCUCGAAGUGAAUGGCAGUUUAAACAACAAAAUUUCUGAAUGCAUCUAGUUUGCCAACUAUGUCCUAUUUAGAGCUUGUGAUUAUGUUUUGUUUUCUUAAACUAUUUUAUACUGGUAUUUCCUCUUCAUUGGUUCUGUUUGCCAUAAGCAUUGAAGUAUGCAGAGUUUACCUUGCAUUUGUAUUUUUUAUAAAAGAAAAUUGGAUUUGGGGUUGCUUUUUGUUUGCUCCUUUGUUGUAAGCAUACCACGAAACAGCAGUAUGGGUCAGCAUCGUCCUUUUGAGGUACAGGGUAUACCUUCACUGAACAACUAACUAUCUCUUCUAUAGAACUGGUCCUAAUAAAUUGGUUAUCAACCUAGAAUAAAUGAUAUUUCUUACAACAAACUUAAAUGGAGUUUAAAUUACACAUAAAUUUAUUCCAAGAGAUUUAUAUCACUUUAAUAUUCUUUAUCCUCUAAAGUAUUUUUAAAACGCCCUCUUAAAGUAUAUUGAUGCUUGUGUCUCAGAUUUAAAGCUAUAAUCUGUUUUUCCCCUCUGAUUGCUUUUGUUCCUGGGACAGAUAGAAACUCCAGCUCUAAUAUGAACAAAAUAAUUUGCAUUCCUACUAUAUUUAAGACCCACAAAACAUUCCUAGGCUUUACAUUUUCAUUUAGGUUGACAAGAUAAACUACUUUGUAAUUACAACUUUUGAAGCAUUUAUAUCAGUCAAAAUAUUUACCUGCUAGUUUCUCCCAACCUUUAUUCUACCUUUUAAAAUUAAGUGAAGUUUUAAAGCCACUUCCAUUUCUUUGUGUAUAGGUUGGUUUGUUGCUAACAGUUACCAUCAAAGAAAGGAAAGAUCAUUGGUUACUAAGUGUGGGAAUAACAAAGAAUUAAGGAUUUAGGAAUAACAAGAGUUUUUGUUUUAAAUUAACAAAGUAAGGGGUGCCUGGCUGGCUCAGACAGUGGAGCACAUGGACUCUUGAUCUUGGAGUUGUGGGUUCAAGCCCCACGUUGCGCGUGGAGAUUACUUAAAAAAUGAAAUAAAAUCUUAAGUUCGCAAAGUAAGCCACACCAGGUCAUUGAUACUAGUGGAAUUGGAGAGGAAAUGUUGGGAAAGCUUAAUUUAAGCACUAGAAAUCUUUAACUGCUAGUGAAUCCCCUGCCCCCAAAAAAGGAAUGCCCAGAAACAUAUUCGAUACUGUUACAUAUACUUUGUCUCAGUUACCUGCUAAUCUUACCUGAGGUUGGUGGAGCAGUGAUUUCAACACCUCUCUGACUUUACCAAAGUUUAUAUUCCUUGUCCUAGUUUACACUGUCUGAAUGAAGACUUCGUUUUAAGCCAAGACACACAACAGUGAAGUAUAUUUGGACUUGUUUUAAAUCUCACCUACUUUCAACCUUAGAGGAAGGGACUAAUUCUUAAAGAGCCCUUAAUGUAGAUGGAGUAAGAUCCUGAAUGAGAGUAGGAGUAAUGGAAUAUAAGGAGGAGAUACGUAACACAUUACAAAAACAUCCAUGCGUGUUGCUUGGAUUUGGAGUGAAAAAACUUUUUCAAGAAAAAUCAUUUUAAAAAGAUGAGCGUCAAAGCUGAAUGUAUUCAGUCUUAAUAGACAGAUAUGGCUAGGAGUGGACAUGUCCACAUUUUAGACUUAAAAGAGGGAACAGAUUCCAUUUGCUUUCCUUUUUUGGAUGGCAAAAUUAUAUGGAAGAUACAGUAUAAGUAAUAUAGUUAAUGAUACUGUAAUAGUCUUGCAUGGAGACAAUAGGCUACAUUUGUGCCAUAAUGUAUAAAUUUAUCAAAUCACUAUGUGGUAUACUGAAACUAAUGUAACAUUGUAUGCCAACUACGCUUAAAAUUUUAAGAAACAAAGUUAGGAAAAAAUAAAAUGAAUAAAUAAAUUAUAUGCCAGUAUGUACUUAGUACCUGAGUCUUGUUGGUCAUAGUAAGGAUAAUAACACAGGGUCCUUUUUUUUAAUGUUUAUAUUUUGAGAAAGAGAGAGAGAGAGAGAUACAGCAUGAGUGGGAGGAGGGGCAGAGAGAGAUGGAGACAAAAUCUGAAGAAGGCUCCAGGCUUUGAGCUGUCCGCACAGAGCCCCUACGUGGGGCUCAAAACCACAAGCUGUGAGAUCAUGACCUGAGCGGAAGUUGGAUGCCCAACUGACAGAGCCACCCAGGCAUCCCGCAAAAUGUGUUUUAUUCGUAACUACCCUAAGGAUACUUUUUACUGUUGGAUUAUUCCAUAACGCACAAAAAUGGUAGCCUUUUAAAGUACUUUUUUUUUUUUAUUUUUUUUUUUGAGAGAGAGAGAGAGAGAGAGAGAGAGAGAGAGAGAGAGAGAGAGAGAAUAUCCCAAGCAGGCUCCACGCUGUCGGUGCAGAGUCUGGACAUUUAACCUACUGAGCCACCCAGGCACCCCGAGUGGAAAUUUUUUUGAGCCUAGUUGUCUUAGGUUAGGAUUUUAGUUUGUUUUUAAACUUGAAGUUUUCGGCUUUUCUUCACCUCAUUUAGGUUCUCUCUUUCCUUAGUAAAAUAGUACAAAUUAGUUCUGAUAACUGAAAACCACGCACUGCUUAAUUAACCUUUUCAAACCAUGUUGCUUCCACCACCAGUGACUUGAUGCCUGACGGGUAAAGUAACACACAUGUUUGGUGAACACAAGUUGGUUUAGCAAUAUAUCCAAUUCUGGACUAGGGGAAAUUGAUAUUGAUUUGUUAGACACUUCAAUUCUUACUAUAGGCAUGUCAGAACUUAACUAAUCUUGUAAGAAUUUAUAAACCUUUUUACAUGUUAAAAAUGAAUCCACUCUGGCCUGUUUGCACCUCUCUCACAUAUACCUUAUGCCCAGUGCCUGGUUCCUGUUGUCUUUCUGAUAAACUUCAAUGUUUUUAGAUAAAGGGGGAACCUAUUCCUCUAGUUUAGUUUUAUCCCUAGUAUUUACAUUUUCUAUGAAGGAAGGCUAUGCUAAGGUGCCGACUGCUUUCUGAAGAAACUUCUUUUAGAUAGCAAGAGAUGCCCCCCCUUUUUUUCAUUCUGUAGAUGAAACCUACAGAAUGAAAAGGCAGCAAAAAAUAUUCACUGUUCUCAAGUUCAUAUGAUAACAAUAAUAGUAUGGUAGUGUAGGCAUCUCUCCUCUGUCCCAAACACAACUUUCCUGACCACAUCUGUGCAAGAUAUUCUGUGGCUACUCUCUUUAUUUGCAUGUUCUCAUGGCCAGUUAAAGGGCAAAUGGGAGUAAAAAUAUGAGGAUACAUCAAAUGGAUGAUUGAAGAGUCCUUUAAAAACUAAAUUACUGAGAGAGGAGAUCUUGUAAUAACAUCAGAACUCAGGGUUCAUUGUGCCACCUUUGGGUUUUUUGUUUUUUUUUAAAGUCUAUUCGUUUAUUUGGUGGGGGGAGGGAGUAUGGGGGAGGGGCAGAGGGAGAGAGGGAGAAUCCCAAGUAGGCCCCGUGCUGUCAGCACAGUCCAAAGAGGGGCUCAAACCCACAAAACCGUGAAAUCAUAACCCGAACCAAAAUCAAGAAUUGGUCACUUAAAUUGAGCCACCCAGGCACCUGUGGGUUUUUUAAAUGUCUAAAAGCUAACUGGCUCCUUUUCCCGACCCAGUCUUCUAUGUAAAUAUUCUUAUUCCUAGGGAAUAAGGAAAGACUUAGAUGCAAUUCUCUGCAUUUGUAACAUUUUGUGAAAGUUCUGUAUUAUGUGCUCCAGAUGUGGGUGGUCUUCUAUUCCUUAGAAUAUACAUUGUUGAAACUCUCUAGUUGAUAUGCUAAAUACUCUCUGCUAGUUGCUACUUCUGUCUUUUCUGUUUUAAUGAGUUUCUUUUUCUGCUUCUUAACUUUUGGUAUUUUCCCAGUACUAUGUCCCAGCCAUCUUUUCACCAAUUGUGGUAAUCAGUUCCCACAUCUUUACCUAUUGAGGAAUCCAGAAUUGAAACUAAACAAAUUCAAAACUGAACUAUUUCUGUCACCUUUCCUUCUUGAGUUUUUUUUUUCUUGAUAAUGAUUCUCUUUUACCCUUUUAGUGUAAUUCAUAUAAUCAAAUAUCUUUCCAAAGUAAAUCUUUUUUGCUUACAGCACUCCAAUUAGUUCACCAAAGAUUGAGGAUCAUGAUCAUGAAUAUCACUAAGUUAAAAUGACCGAAGUUUUAGUAUCUGAUAUUCCACUUCAGUGAAACUAGGUAGUUUGCUCUCCUUAGUUUCGUAAUCCAUAGAGUGGGUAAAAUAGUAACUACUUUAUCAUACUAGUAAUAGGGAUUAAAUGAGAAGUGAGAGCUCAGGGGCAGUUAUUGACUUGUUAUAAACUGUCAAUUAUUUUUUUUUUUAUCUCCAGAUAUCUUCCCUCUUCUUGUUUCUGUACCUAUCACACUGUCAGGUUUAUGUUCCUCUUUUCUAUUCAUGUAGGAGAUAGUGAUAGGCAGUGUCUCAUUCAUUUUUGUAGCUAAAGUGCAAAGUCCCUGGCAUGUAAUAGGCACCUAGUUUUGUUGCACAAAUAACAGAUAAUCUCCUUUGAUGCCAGGUGCUUGAAAAUUUUGCCAUACUUUAUGUUUACCAUAAAAUAGCAAGUCAGUAAAAUAAAUUAGAUGCAGCAUGCUCUGAUUUAUUCUAUACCAUCAUGUUAAAAACUGAGAUCUUUUUUCCCUCCACUUUUGACUUAUUUUGCCAGUGCUGUUAGCUCUCAAAUCUGGUUUCUGUGUAUCUGUCAUUGUGCAAUGUAGGACUGGGCCCUUACUCUAAUGGUUCAUAAUGUAGUUUAGGAUUAAGCCAUAUGGGUAUGUACUAUAAACAUUCAGGCAAAACCCCUGUCCACAGGUAAUGUGUUUGUCAAAGGAAAUCAAAUUUUUGGACUAGAAGGCAAAAUAUUUGUGGAUUUCAAUAGUGACAGGUUAAGGGCAGUGAAGCACAACAUAUUUGUAGUUGGCAUAGCUUUACAUGUGAAGGCAUAGAACAGGAAUAGAGAACAUGUGUUUAAAAUAUGGGAAACCAAUUUGACUAAGCUUGUAUGCAGUACGUUGAGAGAUAAAACAAGAAAAGAGGGUGGAUUGUGACCAAAUAAUUUCUUUUUCUCUCUUUUUUUUUUUUUUCAUUUAGAGUCCUUUGCCAGUACCCAAGCCUUUAUUUAUUUUUUUUUUCCUUUUCUGUUUUGAGAAAAUAUUCUUAAAGAGGGAAAUGAUUGGUAUAAGUCUUAGGAUAGGCCUGGAACCCAGAUAGUGCCAACUAAUUCCAAAUGGAAAAUUGGGCCAUUAGUAAAAAGUCUGUCAUGUAUUAGAUUAUUGAUCUCAUUUCUAAUCUUCCUUAUCUCAGUUUUCAGUGGAAUUAGGGUUAGAGAAAGUAUUUGAUUUCUUACCGUGUUGUUUUUCUUCCUGCAUUUUUUUUCUUCCUGGUUGGACGUGAAAAAAGAGGGAAUGAGAGAGCAAGUAUGAGCAAGUCUGAUGACUUUCCUUUCCCAGUUAUGCUCACCUGUUAAAACACAUGUUCUUUUUUUGAUUUUUUUUUUUAAGAUUAUAUUUUUAAGUAAUCUCUGCACCCAAGGUGGGGGCUAAACUCACAACCCCAAGAUCAAGGGUUGCACGCUCUACCAACUGAAUCAGCCAGGCGCCCCUACGAGCUACAAUUGGCAAAUGUGUAACUUAGUUCCUGACAGCAUUAGAUAGUGAGUAAUUGAUAGCCACCAUUAAUAACAUGGAUAUUUAGUAGAGUUCUGGCAUUUUAAAUUUUAUGCUGAAAAUACAUGUAGCACAGGCAACCUGUGUCUACCUAUAUAGCAAAAGCCAGAAUUUGUAAUUUUGCUGCUGCAUAAGGAAAUAAUUCUUGACCCCUGCUUUCCUUAUUAAAAUUCUAGCCCAAAAACCUUUAUUAAGAGGCUUCAGAUUUCAGGUUUGUAUAUCUUGAAUUCAUUAUGUCCAUGCCAAGUAUAUUUUUUAAUUGGCUUUAGAACAAAAUAUAUACAUUUGGCAAUUAGCAGAAAUCCUAACAGUCAAAUUGUUGUAAUGUAUAAAUGCUAUCCUUGUAUGAACAAGAGGUUAUUGUUAAACAUUACAUUAUCUGGCCAUAUAAAACUGCUGUAACAAACUUGUGAUUGUGACUUGAAUAUAGUCCUGUGUAGACAUUUCUCAUAUUUUCCAGGUGACUUCCAUGUUCUCACCAUUUUACAGUGUAUAUUUCAGAAGAACUUACCCAUUUAUACAUCUUGGAGCACACCCAUUAGAAAGCAGAAGCAACUUAUGUACUAAUACCCAGUUAAGUUAGGACAUUGACUUGGAAGAGGAAAAACUGUGGUAUCAUUAGCGGGAUUUUUUUGUUUUUUGUUGUAGUUUUUAUUUACUUUUGAGAGAAAGGGUGGGACAGAGGAUCUGAAGUGGGCUCUGUGCUGACAACAGAGAGCCCGAUGUAGGGCUCAAACUCAUGAACCUGAGCUGAAGGCAGACACUUAAAGGACUGAGCCACCCGGGCACCCCUGUGUGAAUUUUUUUAAGAUUUUUUUUUUUUUUUUAAAUAAAGAUGUAGGAGCACCUGGGUGGCUCAGACGGUUAAACAUCCAACUUUGGCUCGGGUCAUGAUCUCACAGUUUGUGAGUUCAAGCCCUGUGUCGAGCUCUGUGCUGACAGCUCAGAGCCUGAGCUUGCUUCUGAUCCUGUCUCUCCCUUUCUCUUCUCCUUCCUCACUCACACUGUCUCUCUCUCAAAAAUAAACAUUAAAAAACAUUUUUUUAAAAUAAAGAUACAUCUAAGUCCUUGUUUCAUCAUGUAAGAUGUCACCAAAUAAUGGUUUCCUGGAUGAGCUGUAUAUUACUGUAGCUUAUUCCUUUUUUCUGAAGGUUCCUUGGCUCCAACAGUUAAACAUUUCGAAAAACAAAGUUUGAUUUAUAGGCCGUUUAUAUCCAGUGUCUCCUUUGUGUGUGUGUGUUUUAUAUUUAUAUGUAGUCAUAUUGGUGUAGUUCAAAACAUUUGGGGUGGGGGACAGCUUAUAUUAGAUACCAAAUUCCUAUUUUCUAAAUGUUUACAUAUAACUAAAUGUCAGAACUAGCUAAGAAUGAAUACCAUUUAUACUUUAUUUCAGCUGAACUUGUAUUAUCUUUGCUUUUAUGGUAUAUCUUACAGCAGUUUGUUUUUAGGGAUAGAAGAGAUGGAUUUUUGAUUUAGCCCUUCUUACAAAUGAAGAAAUUGAUACCCAUCAAAAUAACUCAGGUUUCAGUAAUUUAUUUUCCUAGGUAUUUUCAAAUUGGAUCCUACUUUACCUUCAUUUCUUAUAUGAAUCUAGUCAUUUAAUGCUUAUGUUAAAUAAGUCCUUUCUGGGUUUUUAAAAAAAAAUUUUUUUAAGAGAGAUAGAGUGGUGCAGGGGAGGGGCAGAGAGAGAGGGAGACAGAAUCCAGAUCAGGCUCCAGGCUCUGAGCUGAUAGCAUAGGCCUGAACUUGCAAACUGAGUUCACGACCUGAGCCAAGGUCGGACACUUAACCAACUGAGGCACCCCCAUUUUUGUUUUUAAUACUUCUGUAUUCUCUGUCUUGAUCUCUUGGGUGAUCAUUAACCUAAAGUGAGCACCUUAAUUUUGAGUUCCUAUUUUUACUGCCCUCUCCAUUUUUUCUAUCUCUGUACUCUACCGGCUUCCCUCUUAACAACUACACAAUUUCAGUAGUUAAUGUAACAGUGUAUAUUCUUCUGUAAGUACACAUGUAUCGGUGUUCCAAGUUUGUUAUCCUUGCUUCUGGAGGCAAGAAUGAAUUUUAUUUAUAAUAACACAUCAAAGUUUUGUAUUAUAGAAGUGCUUAGCCUCUAUAAAGAUGACCAGGAGUUAGCUUACUUAAAUUGAGAAGGAAAUCAAGACUCAUACUUUCCUCGUAUUAAGCUACAAAGUAAACUGACCUCUUAAGUUGCAUGUAGGUAGCAGAGUACUUCCUAAUUCAUACCUUUAGGCCCAAAUAGCUGUCUCAGAAACUAAAAACAAACACUAAAAUCAUAAGAGUGAGGUUUAGGUCAUAAAAAUCAAAAUUAUCAUUAGAUAUUUUUUUUUAACAUUUAUUUAUUUUUGAGAGAGAGCAUGAGCUGGGGAGGAGCAGAGAGAGAGGGAGAUACAGAAUGAAAAGCAGGCUCCAGGCUUUGAGCUGUCAGCACAGAGCCCAAUGCUGGGCUCAAACUCCGGAUCCGUGAGAUCGUGACCUGAGCCGAAGUUGGAUGCUUAACUGACUGAGCCACCCAGGAGCCCCUAUCAUUAGAUCUUAAUAGCUAUGACCUACAAUCAUUUCUGUGUAAUCUCUGCCUUUUUUCUAUCAGCUAAAUGGCAAAACAAAUUAUGGUCAAGGAUUAGGACUAAACUCAAGAGUAGUUUAAUUGGAGGACUAGAAUAAAGUUAUAGUUUUGUUUUUAAGAUUGAACUCUUUAAACUCAUAGUUAAGUUGUCUGUGCAGCUGAUUGGUUUUCUAUGCAUAAACUUCUUCCCUCCCUUACCAAACCUUGCCAUCAUGCUUUUCCCCUGAAAAUUAGACAAUACUUAGAUUAUGUUUUCCAUUUCUAAAACAGUCAAACAAGUCAUAUAUUCCCUGGAAUUAAUUUUACAUUGGCAAAUAAACUGAAAGAGUUUUUCCAUGCCAUGCAUUUUUAUGAAAUAACUAAUUUCUAAAUUAAAAUAUAAUCGUUCUAAGUAUGAAUUAGCAAAGUAAAAUGAAGGAACCAGAUUGUAAAAAUCAAGUCAUGGAACAAGGCUUGGGGAGAUGGGAAGAAGACAGUUAAGCAUUUGUGCAUGGAGUUUGAAUUUAAUACUCUGGAAAAUAAUUUGCAGUGGAAAGGAUAUCUUUGUAACUAUUAUAAAAUUUGGUAUUUUAGAACUCAGUAAGUACAGUCAGACCAUUGAACUUUUUUUUUAAACUUAGGGCUCUGUUAUAAUGACCAGAUGAAGGUAAAUGUGUAGGGUAUUGGCUCUCUGGAUUGAGAGAGGAGUAGGAAAAGUUUUGACAUCACAAACUGUUUAGACUUAAAGCUAUGGAUUUUUGUACACCUGAAACUAAUAUAAUGCUGUAUGUUAAUUACGUAUGAACUUAAAUAAAAAUUUUGAAAAAUCUAUGAAUCUGAAAGUAGUUUCAUUAUUUAGAGUUUGGUUAUUCAUGCUCUUUGUAGCCUCUCCCUCUUACUUGGCAGGCCUUAUUUUCUUGCUCAUUCAGUUGUUACUGUUCAUCAAGGAGGCAUUGUAUACCAGAAGGCUUUGAGCUACUUGAGAAAAAAGUGCUUGUAAGAACAGAGUUAUAAUUAUUAAUCAUAAUAAACAGUCUUUGUCAAGGUGCCUGGGUAACUCCCUUGUGUAUUAGAAUCUGUCAGUGAUUAGAUCUAGCUUCUCAACAAGCAGGUUAGAUUUGUUUCCUCUAAACCACUAACUUCAUAAUGUAGGUCUUGUGUUUCACAUGAGCUUAGAAUGGUUAACAUGGAAAAGGUUCACAUUCUCUAUCCCUUGAAUAUAGAGCUGCUGUUUGAAAACAGGAUAACUUCAAAGAUUUAGAACCUAUCAAUGUGUGUUAUCUAGAUCUCUAGGAUAUGAAUCAACAAAGCAGUUAGGAAACUCUUGUGUGUGUUUCUUUUGGUAGAAUGUAUCAAUCUCUUUUAUAAGACAGACGAAAGAGUUGGCAGGGUUUUCAAGCUAGUCAAAUCCGUUGGUUCCCAGAUUUUGGGAUUUCUUGAAUGAAUCAAAUAAUAAGGGAAAAUGGAAAUCAACAUAGUUGCCAGUUUUAGUUCUUAAAAUAGUGAGUGUGGUCAGCACUUGGUUUUAAAAUAGUUAUUAACAGCAAAUAAGGACAUAGGAUUUUAAAAAUAAAUUUGUCGUAGGGCGCCUGGGUGGCUCACUCGGUUAUACCUCUGAUUCUGGCUUUGGCUCAGGUCAUGAUCUCCGGGUUCAUGAGUUCAACCCCAUGCUGGACUCAGCCUGCAGAGCCUGAGUGGGAGCCUGUCUGUCUCCCUGUCUCCGUCCCUCCCCUGCGCACUUGCACACGCACUCUCAAACUUUAAAAAAUAAAAUUAAUGUCUUUUUGAAAAACUUGUCACAUUGUUCUUUUUGUUUUGCUGUGGAAUAAUGAAAAAUUGUUCAGAAUUCAUUUUGGAUUAUUUAGGAAUCACUCCGGUAUCUCAACUCUCAUUUUGUGACAAGUCAUUCUUAAUAGUAAACAAAUGUGUAAAAGGCUUACCUAAUUAGGAUAAGUCCAUAAAUAACAGCCAUUAAAAUUAUUUUCAAACAAUCAUUUUGAAGUAUUACAUACUACAAAGAAAUGGUAACAAAAAUAGGGUUAUGAUUUUGUGGGACUUUUGUACAUUGUAAGUAUUCUAGAAAUAGGUAAAGUAGAAUAGUUUCACUGAGUCUUUCUGGGUUGUAGGCUUACGGAUGGAUUUUCUGCAACAGGCAUGUACUACCAGAAGGUGGUAUUUUAGAUAUUCUAGUUUGUAGUAUCAGAAAAUGCUUGUAUAUUAACUAAAAAAUGAGAUACAAACUAAAGCCAGUUAUGGUCUUAGCUUGUCAGAAACCUUGGAACCAUCCCCAGUCCUUUAACACCAUAUGUCCAUUAUGUUCCUAAGUAAUGUCUACUUUAAUGUCCACUUUAUUUCUUGGUCUGCCUGCCCUGGUCUCCUGUCACCACUGCCACUACUUCAGGCCCGGCAUUGAAUAGACAGUCACCCUGAAUAUUUGCCAAAGAAAUUAAUUAUUUUAUAACCAUGUAGUGGCCUCCUUGCUUAUCCUGGCUAUAGUCGUGUCCCUUCAAAUUCAUCUGUCAUCCUACAAAGUGAUUUUACUAAAAUGUGAAUCUGAUAUUAGUAGAAAUGCCUUAAUGAAAAAGAAAAAAAAAAAAAGAAAUGCCUUAAUGGAGUACUUGUUCCUUAGGAUGGCAAACAAGGCCUCUGUGAUCUGGCUCCCUUUUUUCCAGAUUCAGUUGCUCCUUCUUUUGCUUCCACCCAUAUUACUACUGCUUUCAGUUCCCCAAACAUACUUUAUUUUCUCAGACUACCUUUUGUAUGAUCAUCUCUUCCUGAAGUGCUCCCUCCCUCUCUCCUCCGUCUGAAUGCACCCUUCAGUUCAAGUGUUUUUCCUCUAGGAAGCUUUCUCUAGUGUUUUUUCCGAGCAGUCCUUUGUUCUUUCAAAUUCCAUGUACCUUUCAUCCAGCUCUAUUAUAGCACUUACUGUAGUUUGUUACAAUUAUUUAGAAUCUCCUCACUCUGUUAGAAUGUCAGUCCCUGAAGGCACUUUCACUUUCAGUGUCUCCCUGAGAUAAAUGCAUAGUGCUUGCAUUAAUACCUAGGGCAAACCUUGCCAUCAUGCUUUCCCCAAGAAUUAAACAAUGUUUAGGUUAUGUACACUUGGCUUAAUUAGGUAUCUUCUCUCUGUUACAAGUAUAAAUCUGCAAAAUAUCUCUUGACUGUGAAGAGAAGGAAGGAGGAUUAGAGAUGAAUUUUUGUAGUUAAAAGUUAGGAAAAACAAAAUUGCAAAUGAUUUGUGCCCAAGGGCAAAGUCAUCCUUAUCCUUAAAAUUAUCUAGUCCUCUUAGGUUUCUUCAGGUGCAAUUAAUUAUCUCCAGAGAUUAAUGAUCCCAGGUCAGACAUCCUGGUACUUCUAUCAUUUGCAGAUAAAAGCCUCUGAAAAGAGUGUUAAGUUGUGUUAGGCAUAUUGAAAAUUCCUGUCUUUCCUCUGGUGUUUGAUUAUAAAUUCUUAUUUUUCACAUUUAAUCUCCCUUUCCAGUGCAUAAAAAAGAAAAAUAACUGUAAAGGUACUUUAAAGAAGAGAACUUUCCAUCGCUAACUUUUUUGAACAGUUCAACAACCCCCUCUUAACAGGAUGGAAGUGCCUAGAUUCUGGCAUCUUUUUUCAAAAGAAUGGCUGUGGACCCAGAAAUACAGAUGGGAGAUCCACAAAUGCUUACCAGUAUGCACAACAUCCCACAGUGGCAUUGGUGAAAAUAUAUGUUUAUCUCUGCUGGAAAGUUAUUUAGCCUACAUUCUGAAUGGUUUGCAAUCAACAGAUUACUGUCAUUCCCUUAAAAAAAAAUUAUUUGUAGGAGUGUCUGUGUGGUUCAGUCAGCUAAGUACUCUCUACUCACAACCCCAUGAUCAAGAGUCACUCACUCCACCAACUGAGCCAGCCAGGUGCCCUGUUAGUUCUCAUUUUUAUAAACGAAUCAUUAACGUGCUAACAAAUCUCCUGGAACACAAGCAAUUUUAUAUUCUUUGGGAAGGUGUGGCACUAAUUUAAAAAUCAUUUCUAAGAUUUGUAAUAUUAAAUAUAGAAUGCUAUAUUGUUACAUACCAUCAAAUUUAUUUUCCAAAUUGUUAAUUGUAGAUACUACAUAAAGAACUGGUAGAAACAUAAAGCAAUUAAUUCUCAAAGUAAAACUUAAUUGGUCGUCCAUUUCUCAUAAUCCAUUUUUCAUUAAAGGCAAGUUUUUUAAAGUUUAUUUUGAGAGCCUGGGAGGGGCAGAGAGAGAGAGACAGAAAGAGAAUCCCAAGCAGGUUCCUCGCUUACCACAGGGCUCGAAAUCAUGACCUGAGCUGAUAAUCAGUCUGCUUAACCAACCAAGCCACCUAGGCGCCCCGUGGUAAAGGCAAAUUCUUAAGCCCAGGGUUUUAGGUCAUGACUACCAAGCCUUUGUAAAAAAAUCCACUUUUUAAAGUUAGUUUCCCUAAUACUGGAAUGUUAAAAUGCUACAAGUCAGUGUUCCCAAGCCAGUUUGAUCACCAUAAUUAUCUGGGAAGCUUAUUAAAUUAUACAUUCCUGAGCUCCACACCCAAACAUCCCCCAGAACAAGAUGUUAGGUAUCCUCAUUCAUAAUUUUCAUAGGAUGUAGCAAUUCCUGAUGAACCAUAUGCUGAACUACUGUCACCCAGGAAUCUGCAUUUUUGACAAACCUCCAGUACUUUUCAUGCAAAUGUCUAUUUAAUAAAUAUAGAUAUAUGAAAAGUGUUUCACUAAAAUGCCUAUGUGAAGCUACCGUGCAAAAACAAUAUUUUUUUCACUUUUUUGGGAAGUGUUGCUGACAUUAGAUCUCUCCAACCUAAGAAGCUUGGAAGUGCUAUUGUCAUGAACCAUUUCUUACAUUUCUUCUUCAAGACUUCAUCAGUAACAGCAACAAUUUAUUUUCAAAGAAAUGUAGAAUAUUCUGAUGGACUGAACUUUUUUUCUCUAGUAAGUAAGAGCCAAAUAUUGUUAGUCUGCAAACCAGUCUGUGUGCUUUUUAGUUUGUUUUUAAGGGUAGUUAGGUUUAGUGCCUUAUUUCUGAACUCCCCACCUUUAAUAUAUAUGAACAUCUUAAAAGGGGAGGAACUUUGGGGAACCUGUCUGGGUCAGUUGCUAGAGCAAGGGACUCUUGAUCUUGGGGUUGUAACUGAAAAAUAAGAAAAUAAAAAAAAUUUAAGGGGGAGAGGGAUGCCUGGGUGGCUCGGUAGGUUAAGCAUCUGACUUUAGGUCAGGUCAUGAACUCAAGGUUCCUGAGUUUGAGCUCCAUAUAGGGCUCUGCGCUGUUACAGAGCCUGCUUUAGAUACUCUGUCUCCGCUCUCUUUGCCCUUGCCCCACUCAUUCACGCGCGCUCUCUCUCAAAAAUAAACAUUUAAAAAGGGGGGGGGGGAGAAGCUAUCAACUGGUAAACAGUGACAUUUCAUCCUACUUUUACAAGGAAUCAUUCUGAUAUGUUUAGACAGUGUGAUCUUUUAACUAAGGUUAAUGUUUUCCCUUAAAGCUCAAACCAGUAAUUUUAAAUCCUAGAAGUACAACUCAGAGUAGAAAGAAGCAUUGCUUCAUUUAAUACUAGUAAUUUAAGAGUAGUGGAUCUAAAGUGUAGAAGUCAUGAGCUAGGACUUUCCAGGAUGCACUUCAAUAUAAAAAAUUCAGUCUAGGGGCACCUGGGUAGCUUAGUUGGUUAAGCGUCUGACUCUGGAUUUCUGCUCACGUCAGAUCUCAGCGUUGUGAUACUGAGCUGGAUAUAUGGAGCCUGCUUAAGAUUCUCUCUCCUUCUUUUGCUGCCUGCCCCCUCCCCCCCCCCCCCUCCCUCUCUCUCUCAAAAAAAAAAAAAAAAAAAUCAGUCUUAAUGCCAGUAAAUAUUCUCAUCACAUAGUUCCAUAUUUUGGUAUCCUGUUCACCAAGUAACUUUAUGAGUAUAAUUACACUUUCUGUAGAGUCAUGGAGGUAAUAUACUGACCAAGAGGUUUAAGUUUCUUUUCUUCAUAAAAUGAUAAAUUACUUUUCUUUUUCAAACACACCUGUCUCUUGGUUAGUAUGCCUUUAGCCUGAGAGACAUCAGUUUGCUUAAGUCUGGUGUCUUGAGCUGUAUGUUUGAGGUCCUCACCUUAGAUUGGUAAAAGUUAAUACAAAGAAAUACAAAUUGCUUCAGAAAGUCAAUAAUACAGCCAGAGCAUACGGAGAUACAUAUGAAAAAAUAGAGUAAAUACAAAAAUGUCUUUCAUCAAGCUGGCAAUAAACAUUGUGUGAGAGAGAUUGUUUCUGAACAUGUCCUUUAGUUUGGAGUAACUUCCACCAUGGUCACUAUAUUCAGAAGAUUAACCAGGAAGAGAAAAUAAAAUUUAAUUUCCCUUAAAGUUAAAUUCAACCAGGCCUUUCCCUUCUGAUUCUGCCAAGCUAGUUCCUUGGCUGCAUUUCGCUGAAUACUAGGUAGGAAUAGUGGGGAUCUUGUUCCUCUAUUCAUAGGCACCAUUAUUUACAUGAUGAGGUAUUUGGCUACCCUGAGAAUUAUACUUAACUCCCUGAUACCCUCCCUCACUUCACUGAAUUUCUUCACUUUGACAUUCAGAGCACUGGGCAGAAAUCACUUACUAAUUUGGGGGACUUGGGUAUUUUUUUAAGUUAAAGUAUUGGGUUUCUCCAAAUUAGAAAACGUAGUAGUCCACAUCACUAGCUAUGGGAUUUUUUAACGUGAAAAUUAAAAGACAACAGAGUUGCAUUUAAGAGUAAAUAAAUAGGGGCACCUGGGUGGAUCAGUUGAUUUAGCAUCCAACUCUAUUUGGGCUCUGGUCAUGAUCCCAGGGUCAUGGGAUCAAGCCCCGCCCAGGUUGGGCUUUGUGCUGAGCUUGGAGCCUGCUUGGGAUUCAGUCUCUCUCGCUCACUCGCUCUCUCUCCCUCCCUCCCUCCCUCUCCCUCUCCCCCUCCCUCCCCAGCUCAUGCCCAUGCUCUAAAAUAAAAAGUUUUUUAGGGGCGCCUGGGUGGCUCAGUGGGUUAAGCGUCCGACUUCAGCUUAGGUCAUGAUCUCACAGUUCGUGGGUUCGAGCCCUGUGUUGGGCUAUGUGCUGACAGCUCAGAGCCUGGAGCCUGCUUCGGAUUCUGUGUCUCCCUCUCUACUCCUCCCCCAUUCAUGCUCUCUCUCUCUCAAAAAUAAGUAAAAGUUAAAAAGUUUUUUAAAAAGAAUACUGACAUUUUUUUAAAAAGUAAAUGAAUCAAAUAAGCAAUUGUGUGGGAAAGAAAUUUUUCAAUGUUUAUUUUUGAGAGCAUACGAAUGGGGGAGGGGCAGAGAGAGGGAGACCGAAUCCGAAGCAGGCUCCACGCCGCCGUCAGUGCAAAGUGCUCAACCAACUGACCCACCCAGACACCCCAGGAAAAAAAUAUUUUUAACAGGACUGUAUUUUAACUUAUUCUACCCAAUAAAUUCAUGGCUGAAAGGAUAAAUGAGGUGUGGAAUUUAGUCCUUCCAACAUUCCAUUGUGUAACUCGUUCUUCCUGUUAGAAGAGGUAUUGAGUAAUUUGAGUGGCUGAAGUUAAAAAUAGUGUGCUAUAUAAGCACUCAAGGGUGGAGAUAAGAAUGGAGUUAUGGUUGUCAAAGAGAAGAACUUGGCCAUCAUUCUUUUUUUUUUUUUUUUUAAUAUUUUAUUUAUUUUGGGAAGAGACAAUGAGGGAGGGUCAAGGUGAGGGGGAGACAAAGGAUCCAAAGCAGGCCCUGUCCUGACUGCAGCAAGCCCGAUGUAGGGCUUGAACUCAGAAACCGUGAGAUCAUGACCAGAGCCUAAGCCAGAUGCUCAGCCAACUGAGCCAUCCAGACGCCCCUUGGCCUUCAUUCUUUGUUGUCUAUCAUUUGACGGUCUCUGUUGCCCCUAGAGUGUCAUCUAAGGUAUCACUAUUCCUUGAACCAGAGUUUACAACAAGUGCCAAAUAUAUGAACAAGAGAAUGCCUCAUUAAAAUUCCUUUCGAAUAUUGCAUAUCUUUUUAAGACUUUAUUUUUAAGUAAUCUCUACCCCCAACAUGGGGCUCAAACUCAACCCCGAGAUCAAGAGUCUUACCAUCCACCAACUGAACCAGCCAGGUGCUCCUUAAACAUAAGUGUAUUUUGAGGUGCCUAGGUGGCUCGGUCAGUUAAGUAUCUGGCUCUUGAUCUCAGCUCAGGUCUUUUCUCAGGGUCAUGAGUUGUUGGGCUCCAUGCUGGGCAUGAAGCCUACUUUAAACACACACACACACACACACACACACACACACACACAGGUACACAUAUUGUGUAUCUUAAAAGAGCCAGGUGUAUCUUUGGGCUAUCAAAAUGGUCAGUCUUGCUCCAUUCAGCAAGCAUAAACUUAACAAAUAUUAGUGGAGACUGAUAAAAUUUGGGAUUAACAUAAAAACCUCUGAGGUAUCCAAUGUUAGUUACUUCAUCUCCCUCAUCAUGCAAACAUUAGUUUGCCUAAAAAGUAAUUGAUUUCUGUUUAAAUAACCACUAUGAUGUUGGGGCAAUUUAUUGCACCUUUGGAUAGCUCUUUUUUUCUUCUGGACCUGUAGAACUAAAUACAAUAUCCUAAAUUGAUUCUGUCCCACAAAAACAAAAGUAAAAUGAGGAAUUGGGUAGGUAAGUGGCAAACACAGUGGGUUAUUAGGAUAUGUAACUCACUCCACAGGUAAACUAACCACAUAAACAAGAAACUGAGAAAUUUAACCUUACUGGGGUUUUUUGUUUGUUUUUUUGUCAGUGUUAUUUUCAAAUGUAUGGGAACAUUUUCAUAAAAUAACACUUUCCUUACGUUAGCUACUAGAAGUACAGUGGCAGGUUUUAGGAGCUAUUUGAGAUGUAAGAUGGAAACAUGUAACACUAAAACUAUACAUUUAAGUAUAUGAUCAUACCAUUGUUGCAGUAAACUUAAAUCUUUGUUUCGAUGAUUUCUUAACUUUAGUCAUGAAGUUUCUCCAUCCCCAGGGUAUAGUAUGCAUGUAUUUUAAUACUUGCUGUUUUAUUUGGCCAAGCAGAAGCACUCAGUGACAAUGUGAGAUGCCAUAAAGCAUUAUGGGAAGACCAAAUUAAAUCUCUAGCCAGGAACUUUUUAAGUUACUAUGAUCAUACAUGCAUGCAAUUGAGAUGUACCCUUUUUUCCCCCAAAAAGGACUAGGGUAGAAAUGGACAAACGACACACAGCAAGCACAGGCUGGGUUUUUAUAGCCUGGGAGUUAGAGUUUUAUAUAAAAUUAUGGAAUGGUUGAGGGGGCCCCCAUGUGACUGAAGACUGUGGCGUGAAAAGGCUAGAAUAUUUUCUGGGUGGCCCCAGACAACAAAGUGGAAUCCUGGACUAGAGCAGUUAAAGGAAAGGAAAUAUUUUGAACACAAAACCUCUAAAACCAAAUAAUGCUGAAAUGGCAACUAGUUUACCAGAGAGCCUGCUGUUGAUGGAGGGAUCAGGUGGUACAUAGAAAAAAGGGAAACCAGCUUAGCCAGAUCAGAAUGCAAAUAAUUUAAGAGGUAGCUAAUGAAUAGGCAAAUAAUUAUAUAUAUCCUGUCACAGCCAAUACAUGGAGUAAUAUGUCAUCAUUAAAAUGAAUUUAUAAGAACAUGUAAAAAUUGUUUUGGUAUGUUUAAACUAUUAGAAUAGGGCUUUAUACCCAAUUAUGUUAGAGACAUCUAGGAAGAAAACAUAAUUAUAGAAGCUCCAUCACCACAUAUAGCAAAUACAGACAUACCAACUUUGAUUUAAUGCAUACUUCUCUAGGAGUUAAUCUCUUACCUAUCAAGAGUUAAGUAGCUGGUUAUACAACAGUAUUUCUCUCAAGUAUCAUGUUGGCAGUACCCUAUUUUGGAAACUACUAGGCCAAUAAGUAAAUUGUGAGCCCAGGCCUGUAUUGUACUCAGUAUUCAAACAGAAUAAACUGAUAGAAGUGACAUUAAUUAAUGGAAGGAGAUUUGCCUCCUUGCUGGAAAAACUUAACCUUCAAAAUACAGCACUACUAAGUAAGUUUUUACUGCAGUGGAAUCACAAAUUACUAAUUAAAUGCUUUUUUUUAUUAUUAUUUAACACUACCAGUGAAGUUAAUAUGACAUAAUAAACAUUGUCAAGAUUUUAUUUUAAGAUGAUGGGACUCUUCAGUGAGAUGUAAGCAUUUUAUAAAGCAAUUACCAAGACUGUAUUGGACUUAAAAAUUGGUCAUCCAUGCAUGAAACACCCUAAAUAUAGCUGCCCUCCAUGGGCAGCCUUAGACUCAUGCCAAAAUGUAAAACAGGGUUGGUAAACUUAAUCACAUUUCCCAAAAAGAAUUUACUUCAUGAGGCAUAAAUAAGCAAUGUUUUACUGAUGAUUUCACAAGAUAGACUGAGUAGGAGUCUAAAUUGCAGUAUACCCUGGGUUGUCCAUAAAAUCUCAUAUACUUCUGUUUUGUAUUUUUUUAAUUGCAGUGAAACACGUGAGCGCUACCUUCUUAGAUUUUAAAGUGCACUGUACAGUAUUUCUCCAGCUUUUGUUUCUCACAGCUGCCUAGUCUUGCUAAAGUUUCCUCCUUUAAGUCUUACACAGAACCGUUUAGCAGUUGUGGACACUAUAUAAAUCUAGCAAGUAUUUUCUUGCUUAGGAUGUACCAGAUACAGUCAGAUUUUAUGUUCUGCCAUGUAGCGCUGAUCCUUAAUGCAAGGUCUCACUCAAGAGUUCUGUAGUUGCAGGGCGCCUGAGUGGCUCUGUUGGUUGAGCAUCCCACUCUUGAUUUCAGCUUAGGUCAUGAUCUCACGAACCUGAGAAUUGAGCCCCACUUCUGUUGUUAGCACAAAGCCUACUUGGGAUUCUCUCUCCCCCUGGCUCUCUGCCCCUCCCCCACCUGUGCUGGCUCUCUCACACGUGCACGUUCUCUCUCUCUCUCAAAUUAAAAAAAGAACCCUGUAGUUGCUUGUCAGAGACACCACUAUAGAGAAGGUACAAUGUCUAACAUCUUUGGGGAAUGUCUUACUGGGUUAGGCCAGUGAAUUUUGCCAGGUAUAUGGCAUUUUGAUUCAAGUCCUGGGCCUCAAAGUCUCAAUUUCCUAACUCCAGCACUUUCCCUCAACCUGUAGACCCUUAGCAUUAACCAAGGUAAUAAAGAAUUGUAAAUUUUAGCUACAAAUGGAUAUAGAAUUAGACUAGCUUAAUAAAUUUAGAAUAUAUAAUAUCUGAGCCUGAACAUCUUGAAUAAAUAACAAAGCCUUUGUGAAACAGGUUUUUCUAUGGGAAGGCCACAGUUUCCAUCUAGCACAUUUCAUUUGGCUGUGUUCCUUUAUAAUACAGUACAACCUAAAGAAUUUCAAAAACUAUUUGCAUUUUUAUAGGUUAUUUGGUUUUUUGGCUACCGCUGUAGAUAUUUUCCAUCUGAUUCUGCAAACUCUACAAGUUGCCAGGAUUUGGGGACCAACCACAGAAAUAAUUCCAAGCAAGCAUGAUCUAUUUGCCUCUAAGCCAGUGGUUCUUAAAAUAUAGAUCCUGCGUCAACCCUGCACCAGAAUUAUCUGUGAUGCCUGUUUAUAGAGUUCAGAUUCCUGACAAACCUACCACAUCAAAAUCAGUUACCUUUUCAAAAUACAGAAAUGAUCUAUCAAAAGAAAUGCUUCUUUUUUGAGAUCCUGAAACUGCAAUGCAGAGCUGGUCUCCUCUUUUAAAAUAAAUGAGGAACAAUACCAUAAUAUUAACGAGAUGUUUUAUGAAACCCAGGUCAAUAUUUUAACAAGCCUUUAGGAAGGAAAAAAAAAAAAAAUAUAUAUAUAUAUAUAGCAUUACAUAAACAAUUGUAAAGUGGAAUGUAUUUUGAGCAAUCAUGGAUAUUUUUUAGGUAGCUUUGAAUUUACAGUGGAAUUCUACAGGGAAAAGGGGGAGAAAAUGCUAUAUUGAGCUUCACACAGAAGAAUUCCAUCAUAUCCGAGAUUUGGUAGUCGCUCCCCUCUCUAUUCCUGUUAAACAGGAAAACUGAUUAAAGGUAACUUGAUAUAAAAAUAUUUAAUUGUAGGAGAAGAAAGAAUAAUAAAAUAACACUCAAACAUUGGUUGUCAGGGGAGGGGAUUUGCUUGACCAAAUGAAUUAAAAUAAAGGGAUUAACAGUCAUCAAGACAAUUUUUUUGUAAAAAGAAGUUACCUAUUUAUAUAGUAGGUUCGACAUAAAUUUAUUCUGUAAUCCAAAAGGCCAUGUGUUGACAGGCUUAAAAAAAUGUUUUUAGAAGUUACAUUACUACCUUGUGAACCCAACCAUAACUCAAAAAUAGUCCAGGGUAAUCCAGGAACAAAAAUCAGGUUCUUUGUACCUUAAAGAAUAAAGCUUUAGAGGUGCCUGGGUGGCUCAGUUGGUUAAACAUCCAACUUCAGCUCAAGUCAUGAUAUGGUUCUGUGCUGACAGCUCAAGAGCCUGGAGCCUGCUCCCAGUUCUGCCUCCCUCUCUCUCUGCCCCUCUCCCUCUCAUGCUCUGUAUACGCACACUCUCUCUCUCAAAAAUAAAAACAUACGUUAAAAAAAUUUUUAUUUAAAAAAAAAAAAGGUUAAAGCUUUAAACACUCUCUAAGUAUGGAUUAAGAGUGAUUAGAAUCCUUUCUGGGGUGGUUUUGUGGAACCAAAUUAUUUGCACUGAAGAACCACCAUCUGAUUCUCAAUAGAGGAAGGAAGAUAGUUAAAAGGCAACACGGCCAGCCUGAUUUCUGCGGUAGAACCUUUUCCCAAAACACUUUUAAUGGCUAACAUUAUAAGCUUCAUUUGUUUGGUUGAAGCUCCCAGAAAUGACCUUUACAUGAGUUAGUUCCAGAGAUUGCUUCACUUGCCACGAACUACACAGAUUCUUUAGUUCUGUGCCAUGGGCCUUUGGCCCCUUAAAACCUGUACAUCCUUUCUCAGGUAUGUUUUAAAUGAGUAUUACAUACCGCACAUACAACUCAACCUACGGACAUCUAGUUAGCAAUUCUUUGCCCGGUAUUAAAAUUCUGAGUGUAAACUCAGUUAAUGAGGACUGUAACCAGUGUUAUUUGAGCACCCUGUUCAGGUUGGGGGUACACUGUCAUUCCAUGUUUCUGGCUGGGGGAUCCCUUCUCUCAACGGAGAAACAAGCACACUUAAAAGUGAGAAGUAAGGUGAGAAGUGUGGUGAGAAGUAAGGAAUUUUUCUUUAGUAAGAAACACUAAGAAAAAACUUAAGUGCGUUUCAAACAUUCUGAACAGUCUAGAGGAGAGAGGGGUUCCGCAACCCAGUUUUGACCUUUUGUGGUAGUAGCCUCUAGUUCUAUACACAAUAGGUAACUGGCUUACCGUGACUAGGGACACACCUAAGAUCCUCUUAAGGGCCCACCGCCCACUUUACACUUGAGAAACCUCUUGAGACCUCUCUCGCGCUCUCGGUGGGGUGGUUUUUUUUGCUCUCGUGAAUUCUACCAAGCCGUCCAGACAUUUGCCUCGCGUCUGGAAGAGCGAGUUGUGGGUGGCUGCCAAUAGAUGCACACUCGUGGCUUGGCCGCUGGCCCAAGCGAGUCCGGACCCGACGUUCGUGCCGCGGCAGCGUGCUGGCCCGCGCUCUAAAGGGCGUAGCCCAGACAGCUUGCUGCAUCACGGGGCACCGCCCUCCCGGCGAGGGAGGGGCCGGCGCGCCGUGUCUGUCGGCGCCUCACCCUGGGGUCUCCCGGCAAGCGGUUCUUCCUCUCCGGGGCUAGAAGUCCCGAGGGCCCAGCCGGCCGACGGCCUCUAGUACUGCGAGGACCGAGGAGCGAAAAGGGUCGGCGAAGAAGCGCCGCUGCUUUCCUGCCCACGCCAUCUCGGAGGAGCGCCAGAAACGCACUUCCGCCGCGGCUGAGCGCCCGGGCGGUGUUAGAUUGCCUCUGCCAGGACCGCUUCCGCCCAGCGCUUUCUGCGGCACCUGGGGUCCAGGGCUUUAGCUUUUUCGGUAUUGGGGACCUUAUUUGAUUUCCUUUCUCCCUUCUAUCCUCUCUGCCCGUCGUUUCCUACAAAAAACGGUAUAGUGUCACUUCCGGCUUCCCCUGGCCGGCGGUGACGCACUAGCUCAGGCCGUGAGCCAGGGGCAGCCGCCAUCUUCCGGAAAUGCUAGUGGCGGCCAGGGCGGCCGUUGUCCUGUGUGCCCAGAAUAGGGGACUGUCCGUAUUGCUGAUGCUCUGCUUGGGGGUAGGCGGGAGUAACAGUAGCCCUGCGGUGGGACUGACAUGUAUUUGAGUUCUCACCUCCCCACACUCCUUAACCUGUUGUGUCCCAAGUUUAAAAGGACUUAAUCUCUGAGCCUUUGUUGGUUGAUCAAAUGAGGUAAUGCAUACAAAACUCUUAGGGACAGUAUCGGGCAUAGAGUAGUAUCUGGCAUUAAACUAAAAAUAAGGAAAAGCUAUAAGGGUUUAUUGAGCACCUGUUUCCUCAAGGCAUGUUAGUUGUGUUAGGUAUGUAGAGUGCUUUUGAUUCUUCAUCCCCACAGGAAUGGCCUUCCAGCGCCUGAAAGAGAGGAUGUUUGAUAGCUCCUGAGUUUGCGUGUAUCUCCCACGCAGCCCUUCAUGCUUCUAGUUCCUAAGAAAGUUUCUGCUUUUACUUGACCUGCCUGUUGUUGCAGCUCUUUGUACUGGAUGAAUAUUCUGUAGGGAUGGUGGACAAGCAUUGGUUUGAUUGUAGCGUCAUGUGGAUGAAAAGGUAGACUAGCCGCUUCCCAGGUAUUUUAGGCCGCUGCCUGACAGCAGGCCGUAAUGCUUCCCUACACUUGAUCCCUUACUAUUUGGAACCAAGUAUAGAGUGGCCACGGGACGGGAUGGGGAAGGUUCAGGUCUUAAAAAAAGAAUCAGAGAUGCUAGAUAAUUUUGGUGAUAAUUUAUAAGGGAAUAAAAGAAUUAAACAUACCAAAGAUAUUAUUAUCCCUACACAAAAUGGAGAGACUUCACAAACUGGUGGCAGACUCAUUGGUGAUCCACUGAGUCUUGAGAGGUUGAGGAAUACUUAGCAACUCAGCCCAGAAGGGAAGAGCUCUAACUUAACUUUCUGGUUAGUGUCUGUUGUCCUUGCAGGACUCAAGUUUUUGCCCCUUCGAACUCUAAGCAGCCCAUAACUCAAACUGAGUAAUACCUUCCAACACCACAAUACCCACUGUGGAGUGAAAUUACCUGAUCCCAACUCAGUUGAACAGUUGGAAGCUCCUUAUACUUUAGAACAUUUAAUUUGUAUGUAAGUUAAACUACAAUAACAAAAACCAAAAUGGAAGACUACUUAAGGAUAUGGAAGUUAUUUUGUAAACUAUGAUUUAGAUGUCUAUUCUGUUAGCUGUCGCCUCAAUUUUCAAAAAAAAAUUUUUUUUUAAUAUUUAUUUUUGAGACAGAGACACAGCAUGAGCAGGGAAGGGGCAGAAAGAGAAGGAGACACAGAAUGUGAAGCAGGCUCCAGGCUCUGAGCUGUCAGCACAGAGCCCGACACGGGGCUCGAACUCACGAACUGUGAGAUCAUGACCUGAGCCGAAGUCGGACGCUUAACCAGCUGAGCUACCCAGGUGCCCCUAUCGCCUCAAUUUUCAAAGAGCAUAAUGUCAGUUUGAUAAAUCAAAAAUAUAAACAUUUAAAAAUCUGGAGUUACCUCUAAAAGACGUUGCCUCUCAAGUUUGAGGUUGAAAAUGGUGUCUUCUUCCUUUUCAUUUUAAGCUCUUGGAUAUGGAUUUUUUUUUUUUAAAUAUAUGCAUGUUUUACUCCACGAAAUUUUAAAAGAUUAAAAAUUACAGUGAUGUAUAUUUUAAGAUUUAUGUUCAUCUUGAUUAACCUGUCCUUUCCAAGCUUACUCUCUGCUUCACCACCCAGCAGUCAGAGCAAACAAAUUAAACAACUAGCUGAAAGGUACUUUGAAUAACAGUAUCAAGUAGAAACACAUUAUGAAUUGCUUAACAUAAAGCAUGAGGUUUUUUUUUUUUUUAUUUAUUUAUUUGAGGGAAUGAAAACACAGCUUCUUAUUUAUCAUGAAAUGCGUCAUACUCUUUUUGGGAUGGUCUUUUGGCCUGAGUCCACUACUGAUUAUAGAUCUUGAAGCACUGUGGGAACUGCAUUACUAAAACAGUUUCAAAGUCAGUUUUUGUGUUUGGCGCCCUCUAGUGCAUCAUUUUAAGUGACACAAGCCAGCUUAUCCUUGCUGAGCUGUUAGCUGGAAGAUAAAAUGUGAUUUUCCGUUCUCCCUGCGGCACCUGUGGCUGGCUUAGUCAGUAGAGCAUGCAGCUCUUGGGCUUGGGGUUGUGGAUUUGAGCCCCACGAGGAGCAUAGAGACUACUUUAAAAAUAAGUAGAAAUAAAAUAAAUUGCAUUCCAGUGUGAUUGAUCUUGCUUUUCAUGACAUCCCAAGAGAUUUACCCCUCCUUGAACCUACACAUUAUUUCUUAGCCAUGACACUAGCUAGCCUGUGACCUUGCACCAGUUGCUUAAUCUCCAGACUUCAAUUUCCUCAUCUUUAAAGUAAGGAUGAAAUCACAAGAACUGUAUACGGUUUCCCUGAGGACUAAGUGAGCCAUUACAUGUCAUGUGGAUGCCCUGU